AACGAACGCUGGCGGCAGGCCUAAAACAUGCAAGUCGAACGCCCCGCAAGGGGAGUGGCGCACGGGUGAGUAACGCGGGGGAACGUGCCCUUCACUACGGGACAACGUCGGGAAACUGCCGCCAAUACCGAAUAAAGACGCCGGCCCAAAGAAUUCUCGGUGAAGGAGCGGCCCGCGUCUGAUUAGCUAGUUGGUGAGGUAAAGGCUUACCAAGGCUAAGAUCAGUAGCAGGUCUGAGAGGAUGAUCUGCCACACUGGGACUGAGACACGGCCCAGACUCCUACGGGAGGCAGCAGUUAGGAAUAUUGGACAAUGGGCGAAAGCCUGAUCCAGCCAUGCCGCGUGUGUGAUGAAGGCCCUAGGGUUGUAAAGCACUUUCGUUGGGGAUGAUAAUGACCGUACCCAAAGAAGAAGCACCGGCUAACUUCGUGCCAGCCGCCGCUGUAA
rnacentral:rRNA from 1 species